GAGAGAAAUGCUUUUACACGCAGCUGUAACUCUGAAUAUGAGCAUGGGCACAAUUAACAAGACCAGUUAUACAGAGACAGCUUAACUCCAACAUUUUAAAACACAUAGAUUGGGUUUCUCCCCUUCUUUUCAAACAGCAUUCAACAGCUGAGCUUUCCCGGCUCCAAGGAGGCUAAGCUGGGUAAACUCAGCCAACCACAAGGUUGAAAAUAUAGCAGACGUAUCAUAAAAAUUUAGUAAUGCUUUUAAACUACUUCUCACCUCACUGGUUUGAAGGUGGUGCGGUACUGUUAUACAAUAUGUGCUGUUGCCCAGGCAACCCCAUCUCACCUCAACAGCUGCUGCAACUUCAGUGAAUAAACAUGAUGAGCUGUGGCAACCUUGAUUUUUUAUUUUUUGUUGUUGUUGUUGUUGUUGUUGAAGAGUCUUUCCAACUAUAAAGCAUUUGCAGAUGAACCUCUGGGGCUCUUUAUCCGAGGGCUAUUGCUAUUUCUCGAAAAUAUCUUUCACUGUAUUCUAGAGGAAACAUUUUGAUGCUAAGUUCCAUAUUCUGUUAAAUCAGAUUUGUGUCUGGCAAUUUUAUACCUGGAGUAAAAACAUUAUCAUGCCUCUGUGCUCAUUCAGUUUAAGUGCAAGAAUUUUAUAUCUAUGGCAACAAUAAGAGCCUUCCUGAACUGCUUAGCAUGUCUUUUUCCAUUAUGGAAAAAAAAGCCAACAAAAAAACAAACAACAAAAACCCAGCAAACUCCUUGAAGCACAAAAAGCCUAAGUUCUAUCCCAUCCCUUCAACAGGAGCCAAACUGUAAUAUUGCUUCAACUCCAUUUUAAGCAGAGCUAAAAUGAAGGUUGAAAUCCAAAACAAGAUGUUGUGAAAAGAAAGCGGCACAGAGUGCUUCUGUGAUAAAGGCUUUUUGGAGGGAGGUGGCUAGAGCCUCGUGGUCCAAACCCCAAAGGUUUUUUGUUUUGUUUUGUUUUUAUUUUCAUGCCCUUGGAUUCAGAGAUAUUGCUGUGUGAGCAAGCACUACAAAAAGAAUCUGAACAUUACAAGUCUUCCCCACACUCAAAUAUGUGUAGCAAGAGCUCCAGUGGUAACGCUGAAAAUGGCAAUGAAUCUGUUAAAUGCAACGACACGAAGAGAGUUAAAAAACAAAACAAAACAAAAACAAGGAGCAAAGAAUGUACCUAAUUACCACUGAUCCUGCCUAUUAGAUUUCAUUCAGACACCACAACUUCUUUCAAAUAACCCCAGUUUAUUUUUGAAAAAAAAUUCCUUUCUUCAGACAGGAUAUGGGGGAGGAGUCAGUCGGUGAUGUUUUACACAUGCACAUCUGGAUACAGUCCAAUUAUUCCCCUUAUACAUUCCUCCAGUUGUUUUCAUUUUGCUCCAUGCUCUGGCAUUCAUAAAUUUGUGAGAUUAAUUGUGUGUGAGCGUCUGCAGUCUUGGAUCUGGGCACGAGUUUAGCAGCAACGCAGCUAGAAGUCAACAUUAAAGAGAGCUUCAGCUCAGAAAGUACAGUUUACAUCCAUACAUCUUUGGUACUGUGAGAAUUGAAGCAACCAUCAUCCUUACCACAUGCGGCAAAUUGGUAAGAUUAAUCCAAUCUAAACUAAGCUACAUUACAGCAGCUAGUUUGAGCCUCCUGGAGCCAUUCAGUUCUGCAAAAGAAGGGUAUUUUUUCUGAGUAUGACUUCAUUUGUCUUUGAGAACAACAAGAGGUCACAAAGAACAGAGGCACCCUCCAGCCCCCACGGGAUCCAGGCGAUGGAGCAGACUGUGCCACUCUGGCUGCUAACAGGGUCCCCCGAGCUGGCAAAUCCAGCAGUGUGGGAAAUCCCCAUAUGAAAGGUAUUCCCGUGCGAAGCUCGGAUUCCUUGCUGCUUUAACUUGCUAUUUACAGCCCUCAGCAAAUGCAGACAGGAAGGUUGUGACUGGAGCUCUGCUGUUUGCUGGCUAUUCUAGGCUGCUAGAACAGCCCCCUUUGGGGCCAAAGGCAAGUGAGCUGAAACCAAUCACCAGAACAGGGAGAGCAAGGGGGCUAAACACAGCUUCUCCUCUUCUGGGGCCAAGCCUUCAAUGUACUGAUGUUUUGUAUUUUAUGUGCAAUUUACUAACUAAAACCACCUGUUUCCUCAAGCUCUCUGCAAUUUAUUGUUUUGCAAAAUCAGUUUCACAUUACACUUCUGAUGUGCAGUUCCACAUGAGAGUUACAGAACGUAGGUGAUGUAUUAAAAAGCAAAGGGUCAAAGGCCAAGAAUCUACUCACUUCACUGCAAGUUUUCCACCCCCAAAACAGGGCUAUCUGUACACAAAUCCCACUCGCACUGCCAUGGCACAGUCACAUCUGUGUUAUGCUGUCAAGGCAGCAGGGUGACGAGCGAGCUGAGCUGUGCCCAGUUCACAAAGCUUCCCCCAAAGCAGUUAGUUGCUAGCGGGAAUAUUUGGAUAGCUGUAGGUUGUUCUGAGGCUUGGGUUGGCUUUUCUUCGGUGCGAGAUGGCUGCUACUCUUAUGAACAAGUAUCCGUCAGGUUUGACAGGCUAUUUACUGAAGAUAAAUUGAACCGAUAGCUUCUUACAACCACCUAUUCUUUUCCAAAACUCCUGAUGUACUGUAAAAGACUCAAAAUGGGCACACCAUUCUGAAUAUAGGAGAUAACAGAACUCUGGAAUAUUUUAACUCCCUCACAUUUCCUAUUAUUAAUCCAUCUUGUGGAUUUAUAUUUGAAGAUCGCUCAAAUCUGUGCUGUUUGUAGAAGGUUCUUGAUAAAACGUGGCAGAAUAAAAGCAUUCCUUGAGCCAGGA